CGGAUAAGUUUAACUUGCACGUGCACGGUAGACCAUUCUCACGUGCACAAAUGGCUAGUAGUUCGAAAUGUGAGGUGCUAUGCUGACAGAUCGUGGGAAUUGCGCUUUCUCUGCGAGCAGUUACCACACUCAAAAUCGACUUUCUCGAGAAACAAUUGACUCCAGAAAAGCUUCACGUGAUGCAGUUAUUAUACAAGAUGGCAGAAAUCAAGGAAUAUGAACAAUCCAGGACAUUUGUUGUUGUGAAUUCAGUUAAUAUGUAGUGGCGAGCUAAUAUUUAGUGGUGGAAGUUUUGAUUGAUGUCUACAGUCAAUGUUAUUAAUUAAAUUUAUAUAGUAAAUGUCGAUUGAUUAUUGCAGUUAAUAUUUAUUGAUUUAAUACAUUUCAUAUUUUCUUUGAUUAAUUAACACAGUCAAUAUUGUAAAUAGAGUCAACGUAACUUCUUUAUUCUGGUUGUUGCAGAUUCUAGAUGAGUAACCUGGAUAACUUCCAUUAUUGCACCUGCCAGAAGACGAAUUACAUGUGUGGUUUAGGCAUAAUUCACCUAUGUUUCGAUUAAUUAACAUUUCUGGAUCUCGAUAAGUUCAUCUUUCGAGAUUCUCCAGAGUUACACAGAAAGUGCCUUUUCUUCAGGGAGCUGCCGUGACCAAUUUUCUGAAGAAAUGAGUGCAACUAAGUUUGUAUAGCUGCAUUGCAUUUUGACUCGUAGUGCUUUUAGCUAUUGUACUUUGUACAUUUGAUAGAUUAUUUGCAGGAUCUUUUGGGAGACCAGCCAUGCUGAAAGUGAUUUCUGAAUAGAUUUGCAUACAUGAUG